AGGCAGCCGGCCGGCCAGCCGCGGCGCAUUCGUAAACAAACCCUGGUUCAGUUCGGACGCUGCGAACACCCGAAGACCCCCUUCACCCUUCACCAUCAGUGUAACACACUUCGGCUUCUUACUUCGUCGAGACCGCCGGCACAGGAAAAUGUAGGCGAGCGGGCACCAGGUGCGGAGCGCGACAGUUUACCUGCACCCUACGGGGUCGGUGCUUGAACAAUCCGUACGCGACGAUAACAGCCGUGAUUAGAAUUGAAAUUCCUUCACGCUUUGAACAAAUAUGAGGAGAGAACAUCGAGAUAUAGUUUAGAGCAGACUCGUAGUGUUUGAUCCAAAACCGUCGACACCAUCUGCCUCCUCUAGUACUGCACACUGAGGCGCAGCAUUGGGAACGUCGGAAUUGAAAAACAAAAGUCAAAUAUGUAACGUAAGCCGCACCAGCUAUAUCAAAGGCGAGAGAGGGGAUAGUGGGAGAGAGAGAGAGAGAGAGAGGCUCCGUUCGUUCGCGGUUGAUUCCGCGAAUGAAGGAGCGGGACUGAUGUUAACGCGGGUUGUCUCGGCUCGAUCGAGCGUACCUUUUUGGGCGCCGUGAUAGUUAGUACACCAUCCGAGGAGAGAGUCGAGGUGAUGUUGACGAGGUCGUGAGACGGGGGCAGGACGUAUCUGCGUACGAAGUGUCUGCUGAUGUAGCCGUGUUCGUCCUGCUUCUCUUCGUGCUUGGCCUCGACAACGACGUGAUUGUCGACCGUCUUCACCGUGAUCUCGUCCGGUGAGAAUUGUUGCACAUCCAGUAUCACCUGCGGAUCAGAGAGCGCGGUUAGCUUGCUCAGGAUCCUCUCUCGUCCGCCACCGAGGACAGAAGUCUCGCAUUCUUUCGUGAGCGAUCGUAAACAACCGCCAUGCAUCUGUAGAGCGAAAGUUAAGUAUCGAUCACACCUGUACGAGCUUAUUUCGAAAAUAAUGGUCGACUUUUGACUAAUAAGACCCGCCACCCUUUUCUUGUAUCGCGCGAAUUAGCGACUUCUUUUGUUUUGGAAUUUUGUUCUUGUUCUGGCUAACUGAAUUUUCAUCCGGAAGAGAAUCUCUCGAACGCCACCGCCGUGCAUAUUCCAGCGCAAAUUCUAAAUCUUACUUUAAAACAUCGUACGCGUUAGGCGAGGAUAUCGCACGCACAAUAAUUUCGGCUUACUAUCUGGAGCAACGCUUCGUUCGGUUUCACAUUCGCCCUUUCAUCGUUUCCGCGUUCAGGGAGCCGCUGAUCAGGUCCAAUUAUUGGAAUUUUCACGACGAGAAAAAAAUGAUAAUUCGGCCAAUAUUUUAGAUUCUAUCCUGAUCAUCAGAUAAAGCGCAUCGUAAAAGUACUAUUUUUUUCGCGACUCAAUUCUCUCAUAUGUAAUUCUCCGCGGUUCCUUUGGAUUAUUCCGCGUACAAAAUCAAACCGGGAAGAUGUAGUUACCGAGCGCACCUACUUGUGUGAGAUUGUUCAUUUUUUUUUUUGACGAUCAAAAAAAACGAGCAUACAUACAAGUAGGUGAUUCUUCUUUAUUUCUAACGCGUGCGCGGUCGUGCAGGGAGCGAUCGGUCGCGAUCGCGGUGGCUGGUCCCUUUGCGGCCGGUGCGCGGCGGCUCGCUUCGGCGAGAAAAAAAGGCUCAUAAAACAAAAACAAAAUAAAAAAGAACAAAAAAAACAAUAGAAAGGGAGAAAAAGGGAAGAUGAAUAAUACUCUGACAUAGAACGAGGAAGCUCUAACAACCGACGGUAGUGAGGCAGGCGUACCCGAGUCUCUCCGGGUGAUCCCGCGUGAUCCUGGAGCUCGGUGGAUGCGAGCGCGAAGAGAUUAGCGGAGGAUAAUUGGCUGUGUAUUUCGAAAAUAAUAGCAAAAAAAAAGAAGAGAGAGAGAGAGAGAGAGAGAGAGUAGAAAAGAGAGGAGGACAGAGAAAUUCGUGGAGAAAACCGCUCCGCGAACGGUCGACUCGAGUGCUGCGCGCAGAGCGACACAUAUUUUGUACAAAUAAAGCUAUAAAAAAAAAGAAACGAAUUCCGUAUAAGAAGGGAAAAAAAGCACAAAAGUCAUUUUGUACGAUUCUAUUGUUGUGGGUAUUCAAAAAGCAUUUAUUUUUGUAUAGAGAUUAUAAACGGGAGGGAUCGGGACCCGCGGGUCCCGUACGCGCGAGCGGCGCACCCUUUGAAAUGAGGGGUGCGUCUACGCUCGUCGGGACGGCACGAGAGUCUCGAUUCUUCCAUUCGAACAAGACUGACUAAGCGCGACGCGAUACAUCCACUCUUUCGGUUGCAUAUUUUAUUCCGUGGCUGCUGUGCGCGCGAUCCUCUCGCGUGCGACUCUGAACGAAUAAAAAUCGUAAGACGCGUCACGUACGGAAGUAGGUAGAGUCACCUCGGACCUGCGGCAGGCAAACCGUGCGCGCGAUUGCGCGAGGAAAAAAUAUCGCGGAAAGAGAAAGAAGAGUGAAAAUAACAAAGAAAGAGAAGACACACAUAAUACGCACAUACACACACGUACAUAUAUACUUAAUAAGAUUAAAGAAGGGGGAGGUAAAACGAGAACUGUGGUAAAACUGUGAUUUCAUAGAGAUUCCGAAAACCGGCGUGACUAACUAACCGGAGAUCGUGCAGCGCGGUCGUCCUCUUUUGAUACGCGUAUCUUUCGUAGAGCAUUUCCGGCAAAUCGAAAAAGAUAACUGGUCCCUUUAGACUGAAAUUUAAUUACACCGCGAAAUCUACUGUCACUACACAACCGGAUUACAUUCAAAUAAGGCGAUUAGAUAAACGUUGUAGGAAAAACUAGAUUUUUUUCGACACAAACGAAAAUCAUUGUAGGGGACAGAUAACGCCGUUGAUGCUUUCUUGACGAAUAUCAGAGUAAUCGAACCCAUGUAGGGGAAAGAAAAAACCAAAAGAGGAAGAAAGGACAAAAAUAUCUUAUUUGUUAAAGAAAAGAGAAAAAAAGAAGGAAAAGUCGUCCCUCCGAUCCGAUUUAUUACUCGCCCUCCCUCGUCCAGAGGGAGGUGCAAAAAAUCUCCCCUUACCCCUCUCCCUCCCCCCGAAAAUAGUCCCAAUCGGACACUCGUUUCAUCAUUUCAAUCUGUCGAAAAUCGAGCUGCCGCCUCCCGGUCGACUUCGCGUCGCGUGCGCGAUCGCGCGAUUAUGAGAGCAUAAUUAAAACGCGUAAAUGCAUAAUAAUAUGCGUGUAUGGCGAUAGAGACAGCGGCAGCUGCAGCGGCACAAAUGCAGCCAUCAGUUUUUCGGGCCUUCUGGUGUUCCGGAUCUUUUUUUGUUCGUUGCUUUUCGUAAGCCACCCUUACGUUGAGUUUCUCCCCGUCCCAUUCGAUUCUAUCCCCCGUCGGGGUUCCUUUUUCUUUUCUUUUUAACGGCCGCGCGGCUGUGAUUCGUCCCCCUUCGUAAGUAACGUUCAAAUCCGUUCAAGUUGAUAGUUUUCCAUCUCGAUCUUUUCCGUUAACGCCUUUUUUCUCCCCUCCCUCUCCCCCGUCACCCCUUCCCCCAUUUCACCCCAUUCCCUCCCCUCCUCCCUCCUUUUUUAUUUUCCUUUUUACGAAUGCGCCCUUUCGUCCUUUCCUCUCGCAUCACUUCCGUCAUCUUCAACCAUUUAUCUCCCGCGACUUUUCUAUAUUUCGAAAUCUAGUUACGAUAUUCGCUACUCGUUUUUUCGCUAGAAGAUAACGUAAAAGAAAGUAUCUUUCCCUAUAAUACACUUAUUAAAUAUUGUACUUUAUUUUCGUAGGCUAUCAUUCGAGACUCUUUGUAUUCGACACAAAACUCAUUUUGCGUCCGAUACAAAUCGCGCUCGAGCUAAAAAUACCAAAAUAAGGAGUAGGAAAAACCGCUAAAGAGUUUAAGUCGUGUCUUAGCCUAAGUUGUACUACAUCGAAUGUGUAGUCGAACACAUUCCGUUCAAUGUUGCGAUCAUCAAAUUUUCCCCGAGGAAAUCAAUGUAAAAUUGUAGCGUAUUGAAGCCGAGCGAUCUCAAAUUCAUGAACGUAGAACUGUCUGGUGAAAUCGCGGAUUACAUCCACGACAAAAUGCGAAUGUAAUUUGACGAACCGCAGACGUACGUAUUCGUGAGUUUAGGAGCUUUUAGGCAAGUUGCAUAUUUGUAUUUGACACAACCACUGUUAAAAGAAAAAGCGAGAAAAAGGCCAUCGCGUCAGACUGUGACUAAGUUGUUUUCACAGACAGCGAACCGGUUAUAUUCCACUCGCUGUUGUAUCACCAAAAACUUCCAGAGAGAUAAGAUAAAUAACGAUUACAGCACAACCGACUGCGCUUUUGCAAAUUCAUAAAUUUUUCGGCGAGACGCUCUCAUGGCAAAUAGAAAUAAAUAAAUUUGCAGCUUGCUUAUAUGAAAUUCAAAUUAUUAGGCUGAUAGCAACCGAUGUAAAUUAAUCGAUAUUACUGUCGAGUUACUAAGUUAUGCUAAAUCCGAGGCGCGAUAGCUGAAAGAUCUUAAGGAUCGGAAAGUAGCGACCUCGCGGACGUUUUAUCCAGUGAGAAAAUAAAGAAACGAAAGAUCAAGGAUUCAACGACAUCUUGUAAUCAGAGGGACAGCAGCGUCUUUUAUCCGCGUGCUUGAACUCCUUUUGGAGUGAGAAAGAGAGGAGUACUUUAUGCAAAUUGAUUCUAAUAAUCGAUCUAAAUUCACACUCUCGGUCGCGACAACAGAGUAUUCGAUUGAUUCUCGACUGUCGACUUGUCUGUACUGUAUGUUUUAGGAUAACUGCAGCGUAAGAUAAUCGAUAUAUUCCGCAGCGCGUGUUAAUUAUAAACAUCAAUCGCGUGCAUAUCAUCCCGAAUCGCGAGUCUCGCGUGGACUUCUUUGGCAAAGCCAUAUUUCUUUUAUCGCUCCGUAUCCGAAUUACGACGGCUCUUAUAAAUUUGCCGUAAUUCGAGAAAAGGAGGACGUAGCAGCCCAGCUGUAGGCAGUUCCGCGACGUUACGACUAAAAAUACGCGAAAAAUCCUCUAAAAAUAACACGUUACCUCACAACUCGCGUUCGGGACUCCGUGAUAAUUUUAACGCGCGUUGCUUCAUGUUGUUUACGCUUUUUUGCCGCACUACGCAAACCGGACAAACGCACAUUUCAUAGAGAAAUAUUACGAAUAAUUUUUCUCCAUUUUACGUCAUUUUGAGAUUACGAGAUAGAAGAGAGCUUCUUCCAAAAACUAUAAGAGCACACACGUGUAAAAGCGGCUUGCCAAAAUUUACAAGCAAUUUAGUAUAACGAUAUUCUCCUGAGACGGUGGGAUUUGAAUUGCGGAUCAAUCGAGAAGUGAUAACAGUCUUAUCGUCCAUUUGCGUUAUCGAUUAUUAUUAUUAUUGAAUCGAUUAUUACGCACGAGAGAGACAUUAUAAAUCUUACUUGAACUUGUAUUAAUUCUAAAUAAUUUUCGGCCAAUUCCUAUCUUUCGCAGGAUCCUGCUAGCUUUAUUCAGGAUCCUGCGAAAGAUGGAAUUGGACCGUUAUAUAGCAGUACUUCCGCCCUAUAAUGUAUCUUAAGUAUAAGCUUUUAACACUUUCCCGACGAAUAUCACUAUUAAUGACUUUACGAUGAAAGAUUUGAUCAAAAUUAAUCGACGUUUCGUGAACUGAAAGUACGAGUUAGGAUACGUGAGUUUGCAAAGUAAAAUGGAUUUCAAAAAAGAUACGAUACUAAUUUAAUAAGUCCGUCUGAUCGCAAGACUUGCGUGCAGUUAGGCUAAACCGAUCGAACGCGCGUACUAGGAAUAUAUAUAUAAAGAUAAUCACAAUAUCUGUAUAUAACAAAAUAUAUCUUAAGACGUUUUCGCAACCAUUUCACAACGCUACGUGAAUAGAAACAAUCCUUCCUUAAAUGGUUGUCUAAACAAUACAAACAUUGAUCAGAGACAAAUAUGAGCAAGUGAAGUACUAGAUCAUCUUUCGUCGCUCGUGAAAAGAGAGAAUACUCGAGGAAACACUUGCUUCGUAGUGUAACGUCACGUAACAAGAACGAAUAAAAAGGGAUACAGGCGUAUUUUCUGGCCAUCUGAACUGAAACGAUUCCUGCACUAAACGAUAGUAUAUACUGAGAAAAAUGAUUCUAUUAUAUCAACAAGACAUAUAUGAUUGAGGGGGUAGGUUUUAGUGAAACCAAACAGAAUUUCUGGUUAUUGUAAUAGGACUCGAGAUUUUAUAAUCGGAACGUUUGAUAGAUUUUACUAUAAUCUGGUAAUACAAAAUUUUUGAUUCGUCCGUUUUUGAACAGAUUGCUCGAAUCUACCAGAUUUCAAAAUAAUGCAACAAGACUUUUUCCAGCGUAAAUUUUACCUCUAGACUUGUCGAUGCAAUAAAUCGAAUAAAUUUCUAGUGCUAUCUAUACGGGAACAAAUAAUAAGCAUAGAGACACUCUGAAACGUUGAUUCAAACAUCAAAGAAUACAAAAAUAGUUUGGCAAUUUUUUUUUUUGAGCAUACAAUAAAAUUGCAUAUUAAAAUUGAAAAAAAUACAAAAUACGAGAUUAUUUGAUUUUGUUUUCUUGAAAAGGUAUUUAAAUAUGAAUUACUAACAACGUCUCCUCAGUCAAGUAAAACCAUUUUUUAGUAAAAUAACUUGAAAAAAAUCGAUUGAAAUGUUCAAGAAUAAAUCAUAAUUCAAAUAAAAGUACAAGCUGUUUCAACAUUUUUAAUUGCUCCAUUGCAAGCAAGAUAUAGUUACAGAUCGGAAACUUGCGAACUCCUGUUCGCAAAGAGCAAUUUUGUUGAAUCCAAUUAAUCAAAAUUAGAGAUCCGCGCGCAUAGCAAAAAGAAAAUUCACAAAUUCACUUUCGAUCUAAAUCGCAUCGCGCGGCAUUCCGUUUCUUUGCUAUUUAAUGCUGUACAAAAUUGAUUUUUAAAUACUAACCUGAAAAUUAUCAUUGUCCAACUGAAUCGUGCUGGUCCCGCUCGAAUUUUGACGCGUCACGUUCCCCCACGGUCGGUAGUACCUCCCGUAGAUCGAGCGUAGGGAUGGCCGAUCGAUGUUGAAACCGGAGAGAUUUGAAAGUAGAUCGUCCCGAUUGAGGCCAGUACCGAAGUGCUGGUCCAAGAGCCGCGACAUAGUCGUGGACGAACGAUCGAAGUCGUCCCACCAAUUGCGGAAAACGAGCGGCACAAUCGACAUCUGCGAACAUCAAUACGAUAAUCGGUAACGAUCGAUCGGCGCUUUUCGCUUGAUCGUUAAAAAAAACCAAAGAAAAAACACAAAAAAAGAAUCUUCAAGAGAAACGUGAAAAGAGAGAUAAAAUAUAGAUCCGUGCGAGAAUCGAGUGAAAAUCGAAGAGAGAAUGAAAGCAGAUAAAGAACAGAAAAGAAGAAAAAAAAACAAAAUAAUAAUGAUGCUUUGCGACAUAUAUAUUAUGUUUUUUUUUUAUAUAUGUUAUAACUUGUAAGAUUUAAGCAGUACACAAGCGAUAACGUUAGUUCUCUCAUUAAUAUUAUCGAUCGGACGGUAUUUAAGGAUUAUCAUUAAGCGUAUAAUUAAUCUCUCGGAACUACGCCCGAACUACCGUUGUUCGGGUUAUGAGUUACUGUUACGUGCACCCAUACAGGCAUUACGCACGCGAUUCUAGCGUAUAAAAACUUACCGCGCGACUCUACAACAACCGAGACGCAUCGCAAUUACAAAAGACUUACUGAAAUCCGAAUCAUCCAUUCCGGAAUGGAUAAGUUUUUAGGAACGCUGACGAAUUAAACACAAAAUGCAUUUAUAUAACAUAAGGCCCCAAUAAGCGUAUCCCAUCUUCUCGACUCGUCACACGUCGACACUAAUUAAGAAUAUAGGCUACAGGUUAAUCGAUAGUUUUCAGGGUAACGUAAAAUAAGCCACCUCACCGAGUCCGUUAAUUCACACGCACUAUAAGAAUUAAAUACCCUCCUUUGUUCUAAAAAUCUAAUAUAUGCAAAAUUUUACUCUCACUUGAAUUAUCCCCGUCAGGAUCACGGACUAGGCAAAAUCUGAUUAUUAUUGCAAAAAAAAACCAAAAACACAAUAGUCAACUAUGUCACGACGCGACGUAAAUGGGAUUUUUUUUUAUACCGCAUACGGUUUAAUUUACGAACUUUCCUCGCGCGACUUGGCGCGUAAGCAAAUUCAAAGAUAACAUCUCGGUAAAUAAUGUCGUCUAAUUUGUAUAAUUUCCGCAAAAUACGCGUACAACGUGAAAUACGGCUGCGAAAAAGAUAAGAGUAGAUUAAUAGAUCAUAAAUCGGUUACGCGACUCAAUAAUCGUACGAAAAGAGAAUCCUAAUAUUUAAUAAAGUUUAGGCUAGUCGUAAGUCAUAAGCGGCUGCGCGGAACCGCGAGAAGCUAGUCCGUUCGCGUAAGAUCACGCAGGGAGUUUAAGCGAAAGCUCAAUCUCGGGCCGACGGAUUGUCGGAAAUUGAGUAUCGACCAACUUAAGCGAUGGAACAACGAUAACGAUCAAUCAGAUAGCGCAGGGACUAGUUUAGAGUCACACGCCCUCCGCAACUGCUAAGCAUUGUACCUCAUACGCGUUCUGAUACGCGCGAUUAACUAAACGCAAUAUCGACGGUUAAAAAUUCAUGAAUCGCAGGUGACUCGCGAUAAAAUUCUUCGCUCUUCCCUUCUUCCAUAGUUAAGGACACGCGUUUUCAACGACUCGAUAGUAGUUGGGUGGGUGGGUGCGAGGACAUAAGGACCGAUUUAAAUUAAGAUUAUCUCGCACAAAACGUACUGAUAAGCUUACAUCUUGAUCUAAAAGCGGAGGAAAAUCGACAGAUAGCGUAAGGUUACUUUUAAGUAAUUCUAAACUUAUCGAUAUAUAUUACAAGCUCCAUUAAUAUGCUAUAUUACAAUCCUUACAUCGUCUAAAUCUAAUUCGUAUUAAGCUAUAUUAGUGAGCUAAUGAGGGCGCGAAAAUAACAGGGAAAUCCCGCGAGUGCGACGCGAAGAAACACAAUAUUUUAGAAUAUCGUACCGUAUAUAUUAAUUACUACCGUACCGUGGAACGUGAAGAUCCGAUCACUCUCGAAGAUCACCAAACCAGAUUCCGGGUAUCGCUCGCGUCAACUUCUGAUUCUGGCGCGAGUCGCGGGUCUAUCUUAAAUAGCCGCGAUGCGGAGGUGGUUCUCUCCUAUACAAUGUCACGUGACGUUUCACUGACUGUCUUAUCCAAGAAUACAUCGACUUCGAAUACAGACGAGAUUUUGGAGGUCGACUGCAUCGUUCUUUCUCACGAUGGCAUUCUCGAACAUUCUCGCUAUUUCGUGAAGCUGCGAUUUUUACGGUCAGAACAGACUUUUUGACAGUUUGCCAUCUCGCGAUUAGCGCGAGGCGGAGAACCUUACGAACCGAAUUUAGGGUGCCUGAUAACGAAAUGCAAAAGGCAGACUCAAAGGUAACGAAUUCGCGAAUGGUGAAAACGACGCCGUGUCUGGCUGUUGUACAAACACCAUCGAUGUGUUAUCGAGUCUUGCUUUGCACGACGUUUGAAUGCUACCUCUGUCAAAAUUGUGGAAUGGCAUAAUAGUAGGCCAUCUAAAUCUAAAUGCACUUUACUUGAAUCAGCAUGUUACUCUAGACAGUUUGUGUUUAAACGAAAAUUCUAAAAAAAAAGGGUCGCAUAAUUUUGUCGCCGCACGACUCGGCGUUACAUUUUCUCCACUCUAACGAACUGACCGUCCAGUCGUUGCUUUACAUCAAACGGGGCUUCAACUAAACGUUUCUCUGAAGUUUCUCUUACUCCGGUUGUACUUUGCUGAGUAAUCCACCAGAAAUAGAAAAAUCGACCGAAAUAGAAACGGCGCGUCUUCGAUCAGUCGCGACGAUCAAUUUAAACGUCGACUUAUUCAGACACACUUUAAAUGCCGCGAAUUAGAUCGGAUUCUCACAAGUCGUAGAUGAAACUUUGACCUUACGGAGGAAUAUUAGAUCGAUAGAAGUUGUCAAAAUGCACGGGGAGUGCUAAGAGCGCAUUCCUAUUCAGGCCUACUUUACACUUACACUUAGGAUAUUGGAUUAUACGUGUUUUUCUUAGAAUACAUCAUUUUCUUUGAUUUGCUGCUUUUUUAUUCAGUCUACAUAAGGAAAGUUAUGAUUAACGCUGGUGUUGCUUUGCGCGACAAUUAACGACGUACAAUUUUGUCGAACCGUCACUUUCUCGAAUUCAGAAUUUUUGAAUUUACUUAUUUUAGCCACGAUAAUCGCUCGAGCAUGAUUUUAUUUGCACGAGAAAUAGAUCAUAGUCUGAUCAGCUUUUGCGUGCAUCAUUUCGCGCGAGGAUAAUUUUAGCAGCAACGCACCACAAUCGUUAAGAUGACUUUAUAAGUGACUGAUUUAUAUCUCCCUUAUCGGGGAAAAAUAGGUAUGGAAAUAAGUAUGAAAAUAGGUAUGAAAAGGUAUGGAAAUAGGUAUGACAAUAGGUAUGAAAAGGUAUGGUCAACUAUAAAACAAUAACAAAAAAUGACGUGCACGUCACCAAAAAAAAAAAUAAAUAAAAGUUAGGCAUAUGUGUAUUAUUAUAUGUAAUGCUAAGAAUAGUCUAAGACAGGAAUUAUUAUUAGAUUAUUUUGUUACUCCGCGAAUUUCGUCUACUAGCGGCAAGUGCUAAUAAAACCAUCUCAAAAUAGCUCCCGAUUCACGUUUCGCCUAAAAAUAUGCUACUUGUCAUAAUAAUGAGCAACACCUGAGAAACAGUCGCAUCUCUGCAAAAUGAACAAAUUUCAAUCAUGUAAUAAAAAAAGAGUGGAUCUAUCUGUGAUGUUCAAGCUGGACGAUAACCAUUAUUGAAAUAUCUCAUCGACCAAAAAGCAAAAAAUAGUUUUAGUACUUUGAAAUAAACGGUUAUCGAUGGCAAAUUUUGAUUUUCACCCGAGAAACAAAAUUAUUUAUUCAAUUAAAAGACAUCCCAGAUAGUCAAGUCUGUAGAAAUAGAUUUCGCGCAGAGCAUGCUAUCAAAAUUUGAAGGCAGACUGGCAAUAAAUGGCUGCCACUCUGCGCGCAGUUUGUUAUCGGGGACAUUACCCAAGAAAAGAAAGACUAAAUAGAUUCUUACAUCCGGCAAUGCACUUGUGGCGGGUACAUCGGAGACGCGAGUAAUUUAGCAUUAAGGGUAAUUUUUAGAUUUUCGGAAGAAUCAUACUAUGUGGCAUUAUAGUAACGAUAAGCUAUGUAAGGUAAUUAAGUUAUUUUAUGUCCGCUAACCACGCGUUGGCACUCGUCGCACCAAAAUCAUGUUAACAGUAAUAAUUAAUCGAUAAUUCCAAGCAUCUUCCAAGAAUCUCUUCCUAAUAAGAUUCUUGUUUUUACUUGUCUAUUUCUCUUAAUAAAUACUUCUGAUGAUAUACUUCUUUGAAAUAAAAAUAGAAAUUAUAUAAAAUAUAAAUCGUGCAAAAUACUCCACAAAAUACUAGUAGUAUUUCACGUGUCACAUUUCGAUGAUUCGAUUAUUAACUCUAAAAACGACUUGAUAUUCUGGUUACCUUCUAGGGAUAAAAAAAAGCUUAAUGUCUCGUUGAUACUGGAUAAAACGGCCAUGACCAUCCGUGCGACUAUAGAGAAUAUUAUGAUGUAACGCAUAUGAUAUUGUAAGCAUAUGUCAACAUACGUAACAAUUUACGAUGAAUGUGACUUAGUAACCAUCCGUUAGAUUGAUACUUGUAACUCGAUGGGCUAUUGAUGUUAUUAUACUUAUUCUCUUUUUGAUUUGUAGCACGCAUAUAUAAUAUGUAAUUAUCGUCUUUAAAUGCAACAAUAUUAUAUCAGGACAGAUUUACAAAAAUUGAGAAAGCGAGUGCGUAUUUUCUGUAUUAACAAAAAAAAAGAGAAACGAAAAAUUUGUAAUUCGCAUAAUUGAGACCAUCUGAUAACAAUUCGCUCUGUUGAUAAAAAUUGUGCAAAAUUCCAUCACGAUACGGCUUACACUUUAUAUCUGGUUUCAUUUAAUCCUGUAUUUAUGCAGCGCAUAGAAAUAGGCCCUACGCCAUUUCUAGGCUGACAGAAACAAUAAAGAAAUCCGACACCACAAA
rnacentral:lncRNA from 13 species